UUUACAUCCUUUGCUAUUUGUGUGUGUGUGUGUGUGUGUGUGUUUGUGUAUGAAAAGUAUUACCUGAAGGUUGUUUUUUUUUUUUUAAAAAGCUAGAUUUUUAUACAAUUCCCUGGGCUAAACACCAAAUAAGGACCCAGAGCGCCCUUCUGUCAAAAAUCCCCCCUUCUUAUCUCUCCAUGCAGUCUCUUGGAGAGACAGCUGCUGUUUUUUACAACCUGGAAAAAUUAAUCAGACCUAUUAUUUUAGUUUUGCAGCUCUGUUAUUUUCUCAUACAAUCUUACCUCUCUUUCUAUUAUGAUGUCUUUAUCUGUGUGACUCCAGGGACAGUGAGAUCUCCAAUUCUAAACCUAAUCGCAGGAUAACAUAAGAACUGGAAAAAGUAAUGACUCUGGGUCAAGAGAGAUGUCCCCACUUGGCCGUGACAUUAGCCUAGGCACAAGUAGUCAUCAAAUCCAACAUGCAGACGGAGCUUCAACUCACAUCUAAAAAAGCCACAUGAGAGAGCUUUGUGGUGAGGCCUGGGAACUGGAAAGAGUAAUGAUGAUGACCAGGGAGACAGAGAAAGAGAAAAGAGGGAGAGAAAUGUAGGAAAUAGAAAGAAGGGGAACUGACUGAAGCAACUAAUAAGGACCCUUAUCGUUCUGGUUGCCUAUUUUUAAAACUUCUUAUAGUAAAAUAAAACACAGAAGCCAAAAACUGCACAAAGUCAUAGCUUAGUGAAUUAUUAGAAGGGGAGCACCUGUAACCACCACCCAGGUCAAGAAUGGAACUUUGGUAACAUCCCUGAAGCACCUCCAUCUGUCCUAUUCCAGUCUCAACGUCUUCUCUCUUCCCAGAAGAAAAAAACAGAAUCCAUAAUGACAGCAAUCAAAGAAACAAAAUGGAAACACAACUCAAAGUUUACAAAUUCAGAUGGAAAUGUAAAAAACAUAAGCUAUAUAACCAGUUAAUGACUGUUUUCUAAGAGUUUAUUAAAUAAGAUAUAGGAAACUAUGGUAA